rnacentral:lncRNA from 1 species
GUGCGUUUUAUUGGUAGUAAGUAUUUUCGCUGCUGCUGCAAAAUUCACAAAUUUCAAUAUUUCGAAAAAAAAAAAAAAAGAUAUAACCGGAUUUUAUAAUAUAGAUAGAAGAUAUGAUACGGAGCCUAUAUUUCCAUCUAUCGAUAACACUAAUUGUACAUUCAAAUGGGACUUGGAGCAGGUAGCACUAUCCAUCAAAUCUUUUACUGUCAUACAAGCCACUGAUGCAAGAAAGUUACGAAUCGAAACUUGUAAAAAAGUUUUGUUGCUUUUGGAUAUAUUUGAAUUUACUAAUUUAUAACUGAUUUUUCUUUUUUAUCUCUAAAUUUUAAUUUGUGUUUAUGGAGAACGCCUCCAUAGUCCCGCUUGUACAAUAUAAAAAUUAUUGGAUAAAAUGGCGGAAUUAAAUAGGCGUUCCAUAAACUAUCCUUUUUAUAACUUUUCGUAUGUUUCCAUUAAGCUGUUUUAACGAUAAUUUUGCUUAUUUUAGUCACUAAAUUACUGUCGAAAAUUAGUUUUGCCUUUGCACGGUAUAAAUGAGGAAAAAAUUGAAAAUGGCCUUUAAUAACCAAGAUCGAACCGAAUGGGAUGCAAGGAGAGAAUAUAAUUGUGGUACCUGGAAUAGUUCAUUGCGCAGGGGUUUGGAAGAAUGGAGAAAUACAGGGGAGAGCGGACGUCAUAUGGCCCCGUGAUGGAGUUGUCCUGUAUAGUAGCUCCGCUCUGCAGGAAAAGCAUCACCAGCCUGCCAAGUGUUUGGGUCGAUGGUCCCGCUGUCUUCCUCUCUCGUCAUAGUUUCGGCCCCUCGGGGGGUUUGGUCGCUGGGACAACCCUUAGUUUCGGCGUUCUCUGACACCUCGUCACGUGUGCGACUUGUGACUGCAGAUCUUUUUUUUUUCCGUCUAGUCACGUAUACUAGUAGUGGAAACAGAGUCGAGAAGCUUAUUCUGCCUCGAGUUUAUUUGAGUAUAAAAUGUGUGUAACGCAAUAGUGGGCGCUUCUUCAUUGUUGUGUUCUUAAAAUUGUCCUAAAAUACCGCCGUGACUUUAACCAUUUUAUUGUAACUUGGGAAAAUCUGUAGAUUGUAAGAUUCGUUUUUUGCUGAACUAGCAUAGCUAUUGUGAGAUACUAAAGGUAAUCCUUUCUACCUGAGCUAUAAGAAACUGUUCUUUUUAAAGUUCUCGGUUAUGGUUAGACGUGAUAUUGAAGCCCUAUUUACAUUGCAGGACAAAAAUGGGUGGGUAGAGAAUAGAGCGGGACUAGUUCGGGGUAGAUACGUAUGAGUCAGCGCCAGCUUUUAUCGACCAGUUAGGGAUUCCAGCAAUAUGGGAGCCCAAGUUAGAUUAUUCUACAUCACAUUCGUAAGUUUAAAAACUCUGAAAAUAUCCCUAUCUAGCUGCUAAGUAAAGACCAAUAGUUAACUAAAUAGCAAAAUACGCUUUUCUUUAAUGCAGAAAGAAAAAAAAAAG